AUGCUUCGGUAAAAAACUUAGUUAUGUUUGCGGUGUGGUGUAAUUAUGUAUGCAGUAAACUGGUUGUUUGUGCUUGAGAAAGGAGACGAUUUUUUUUAUCAAGGUCUGGGUGAGUGACUGGAAAUUUCCAGGUUCCUGAGCCUGGUUGGGAUCCACCCAUGGGCAGGGCCACCACAGCAUCACUCACCUGAGGCAAUCAGGCUGGGGACAUUUAAGCUCUACGCUGACGUCUCUUCUCCGCCUACUUGAUGGUACUCCACGUUGCAGAAUAACACACACCUUUGGAUUCUGGCUUAAUACCUGCUCUCUAGAAAUCCCUCCGUGCCUCACCUGCCUGCCCUCUCACCACCUCGGAACCAACAGAACUCAGGUCAGUCGUCUCACGCCCUCGACUUCUCCUGGACUCACGCCACCUCUCCCUCCAGCCUCUAUCACUCCUCCUGCAAGUGGAUGCAGACUUCCUCUUUUGCGCUGUCACCUGACUUCAACGAGGAAGCCCCAAUCAGAAGACAGUGAGAGAUGCAUGUCAUCAGUUUUCUUCAGGUUUUUUUUAUCAGAAGUUGAAAGAUAAUGAUAACAGUACAUAAAUAUCCACCUUCUCUGGAAGUACUGGAGUCAGGAUUUGCGAAUGAUAAUGGGAGCCUGCAGGCAGCACCAUCACCAGCUGGUGAGUCUGUUGGAGGAGAUGGAAUGACUGUGAUAUGAGGAAACUCCUUUGACUCCAUAACCAGGUCAUGGUAUAGGGAGAGGAUGAGAUUGAUCAUGGAGUCCAAAAGGGUGCAGCUCAAAGGACUGUUCCUCAAGUUUGAGAUGACCAUUUGACGUUUGACAACCAGCUUAGCUACGAGAAAACAAAAGUUCAUCUAUGUUAAUCAUGACAUCAAACAAAUUAUAGGUUUAAAUGUCAAGACAUGACUUUAUAUUAUCAUAUGCUAUUUCCACAGACAGGGAAUGAGAGACCCACAGCAGAACUCAUUAUUUAUGACAGACUUAAAACUUUUCAUGUUGUAGAAGGUGAGGAAAAAUGAUUUUUGCACUGUAAAUGGCUCAAUUGCGUGCUUUAAACCAAAGGUCAAACCAGUAACUUCAAAUUCGAAUCCAGACUCGGCUUGUUAGCAUGUUGCAAACACUAAAAAGGUCCUGCUGAUUGCCAUUUUAGCCACAUGUAAAUUAAAAAUUUACAGCUCACAGUAAAGAACAACUUGUGUUUUUGGUGACUGUGAUCAAAGUUUUUAUUGACUAUGGAUCAAAAUUUUCAUUAAAUGAAUAAUGGACACAUUGUCAGUAAGGUUGCAGAGAGUAUCAGUGAUGUUUGGUGCUGAAUAUGAAGUCAUGAUUUGAAGUUUUCAAUCUGUCGAAAAUAAAACGGCUAAAGUCA